rnacentral:rRNA from 1 species
GAUGAACGCUAGCGGGAGGCCUAACACAUGCAAGCCGAGCGGUAUUGUUUCUUCGGAAAUGAGAGAGCGGCGUACGGGUGCGUAACACGUGUGCAACCUGCCUUUAUCUGGGGGAUAGCCUUUCGAAAGGAAGAUUAAUACUCCAUAAUAUAUUGAACGGCAUCGUUUAAUAUUGAAAGCUCCGGCGGAUAGAGAUGGGCACGCGCAAGAUUGGCUAGUUGGUGAGGUAACGGCUCACCAAGGCGAUGAUCUUUAGGGGGCCUGAGAGGGUGAUCCCCCACACUGGUACUGAGACACGGACCAGACUCCUACGGGAGGCAGCAGUGAGGAAUAUUGGUCAAUGGGUGCAAGCCUGAACCAGCCAUCCCGCGUGAAGGACGACUGCCCUAUGGGUUGUAAACUUCUUUUGUAUAGGGAUAAACCUACCCUCGAGAGGGUAGCUGAAGGUACUAUACGAAUAAGCACCGGCUAACUCCGUG